rnacentral:rRNA from 1 species
AUUGAACGCUGGCGGCAGGCCUAACACAUGCAAGUCGAGCGGAUCGGCGGACGGGUGCGUAAUACCUAGGAAUCUGCCUGGUAGUGGGGGAUAACGUUCGGAAACGGGCGCUAAUACCGCAUACUAUCAGAUGAGCCUAGGCCGGAUUAGCAAGUUGGUGGGGUAAAGGCCGACCAAGGCGACGCUCCGUAACUGGUCGGAGAGGAUGAUCAGUCACACUGGAACUGAGACACGGUCCAGACUCCUACGGGAGGCAGCAGUGGGGAAUAUUGGACAAUGGGCGAAAGCCUGAUCCAGCCAUGCCGCGUGUGUGAAGAAGGUCUUAGGAUUGUAAAGCACUUUAAGUUGGGAGGCGUUACCAACAGAAUAAGCACCGGCUAACUUCGUGCCAGCAGCCGCGGUAAUAC